rnacentral:rRNA from 1 species
UACGAAGGGGGCUAGCGUUGCUCGGAAUCACUGGGCGUAAAGCGCACGUAGGCGGAUUGCUAAGUCAGGGGUGAAAUCCUGGAGCUCAACUCCAGAACUGCCUUUGAUACUGAGGAUCUUGAGUUCGGGGAGAGGUGAGUGGAACUGCGAGUGUAGAGGUGAAAUUCGUAGAUAUUCGCAAGAACACCAGUGGCGAAGGCGGCUCACUGGCCCGAUACUGACGCUGAGGCACGAAAGCGUGGGGAGCAAACAGGG